CGGUAAUCGGAAGUCUACUGGACGAAUGCGGGAACGUUGCGAUAUUUCCUGCUUAAUAUUUUCAGCAUACAUCUCCAGCUGGUUGCAAGGACUUCUGUGGCAAGUUUGUUUUAUUACUUCCAUGCUCUAUGUCUUUGUUGAACUAUCCAAAAUUUGGUUUUGGGCUGUUUAGAAUUUAUUGUUCACAAAUCUGUCUUGUGCAAGUUUCUCUCUGUUUAUGUUUUAGGUUGAAGAUGGCCCAGAGAGGUUAGCCUUACAGUUGCUGAUCUAGAAGCAUUAGGCAAGAGUGUCUGAGAACGAUGAACUGGAUAGGUAAUUACAAAAGAUCACAAAUGACUAAUGCUUCGUCUGAGCCCCGGCCAUCAAAGGCCAAAGUUCACAUUAGAGAGCUGUCGGAUUACAAUCUUUUUUAUAGGGACAUAUUCAAAAACAAAGGCACAAUGAAUGAUAUUAAGGGCAGGUGCGCCACAUUGGGGGAAGAUGCAAAGCAGAAAUACAUUCAAGCGGCAGCAGCACUGAGGGCACAUGGGCAGUCACAGGACACUAAACCCUGAGAUGGAGGCAAUUUGUGCUGUGUCUGCCGCGUCCAUUUUGAUGAUAAGAAGAAGAAUGCAAGAAAGAAGUGGCGCUCAUGGUCUCAGUGCACAGUGUGCCAAUCAUGGUCACACACAGGACGUGGCUUUAAAAAGAACAUGUGCGUUCACUGCCAAUGUGAAGACACCAUGCUAACACCCUGAAGAUGUAUCUUGUUCCUUGUUUGAGUUGUUUUUACUGUGUUGACGGCCCCCAACCCAUCCAUACAAACACACACACACAAUACAUACAUAUGCUGCAAAUUCAUUGUAAUGACCACACUUCACACGUAAGAAGAAAAUUGUGAUCUUUUUGUUAUUUUCAUUCACCCCAUUUUUAUUUAUGAUUGUUGUUUGUUGGCACCAUCAAUGUGUUCUCCUUUAUACAGGACUUAUGUGGGGACCAAUAAAGUUAUAUUGUACUGAA